rfam:Schistosoma mattheei strain Denwood, Zambia genome assembly, scaffold: SMTD_contig0000468
AUCCAGCUGACGAGUCUCAAAUAGGAUGAAACACGCGUCCUGGAU